GUCUAUGGCCAUGCCACCCUGAACAAGCCCGAUCCCGUCUGAUCUCGGAAGCUAAGCAGGAUUGGGCCUGGUUAGUACUUGGAUGGGAGACCACCUAGGAACACCAGGUGCUGUAGGCG
rnacentral:rRNA from 1 species